AUACGGAGGGUGCGAGCGUUAAUGGGAAUUACUGGGCGUAAAGCGUACGUAGGCGGUUUGCUAAGUCAGAUGUGAAAGCCCCGGGCUUAACCUGGGAACUGCAUUUGAUACUGGCAGACUAGAGUAUGAUAGAGGGGGGUAGAAUUCCUGGUGUAGCGGUGAAAUGCGUAGAUAUCAGGAGGAAUACCAGUGGCGAAGGCGGCCCCCUGGAUCAAUACUGACGCUGAGGUACGAAAGCGUGGGGAGCGAACAGGAUUAGAAACCCUAGUAGUCC
rnacentral:rRNA from 1 species